CGUUUGAGGCAGAACCAUUACCCAACAACUUCAAAAGACCAGUGCCUUCAUGCUGAGUUGACACAGUUGUUAAGAAACGGAGACACUGAAUAAGAGUGAGGAGAUGGGUAAAACAACUUACACCACUACCUUUCAUACGAAACCUUAUGAAAUCAAUAAUACUCCAAUCUUCUUCCAGCUGUCACAUUUUGGGAAUUGUGAUGGUAAUGUGCUGUCCUCAGUGAAAUAGGGCUAAAGUAUAUAUUAGGUUUGUUUGUAUGUGGGUUUGUAUGGUUUUCAUGUCUCUCUUUGUUGCUGUUCUGUUUAAUUGCACUGAAUUGUCCUGCUUAUAGGACAGCUGUAGUCAGGGGAUCAUAAUCAGUCACUUAAUUCUAACUGUGUGAUUUUCAUAGCUUCAAACUAUGCACUACCUCUAUAUACCGUUCUACCAUGUAAACUAUAUACUACCAUACAGUAUUAGAAAAAGCAAAAGAUUUACCAUCUGAUGAUCAGCCUGGAUGAUGAAUGCAGGUUCAUUUUUAUGACACUUGGUUACUGUGAUCGGCCCUUCAGUGGGUCAACCGACAGUGCAAAUAAGUGCAAAUCUAGUAACCCUUAAAUGUGGUGAAUUGAAACUACCUCAGAAUGUAUAGUAAAAAACAAGUCUAAGAAAUGUUCUCUUUUGUGAACACUGUCCAAUAAAUGUCCAGCUUUGUAUCAAUGAAUGUAAUGAAAAAAACAUGAAA